GCUGGGACUGGGGGAGAGAGGAGGGCAGGCUGCACUGCAGUGGGCCAAGAGCAGGGCCUGUGCCAGCACGGGGCUCAGGGCAAUUGCCCCACUUGUCCUCCCCUCCACCUCUUCUGGGUCAUCACUACAAUGUGAAGCAGACAGAGCAUUUGCAUGUGCUAUCAAAUGCUGUAAAUGGAACCAGAAUGACUUGCUGUCUGGAUGACAGAUUGUCAGCAAUAGAGAUUUAGUGAUUCUGCCAGUCUCCCUGCUGUGAAGCUCAUUUAUUAACUUGGGGUUCAGUUUUGUUCAGACUUGAGUUCAAAUGCUGCAUCCCACCCAAACUGCAAGGGUUGCCUAGUAACAGCUUUUAAAGAGUGUUAUUUGCUUUCAAAGCGACAAGCUGUUAUUUCUCCCUUCUUUAAAACAAAAACGUAAAGAAAGAGUAACGCUAACAG